UCCUACGGGAGGCAGCAGUGGGGAAUAUUGCACAAUGGAGGGAACUCUGAUGCAGCGACGCCGCGUGAGUGAAGAAGGUCUUCGGAUCGUAAAACUCUGUCCUUGGUGACGAAGAAAAUGACGGUAGCCAAGGAGGAAGCCCCGGCUAACUACGUGCCAGCAGCCGCGGUAAUACGUAGGGGGCGAGCGUUGUCCGGAUUUACUGGGCGUAAAGGGUGAGUAGGCGGUUAUAUAUGUCAGGUGUAAAAAGCUAUGGCUUAACCAUAGUAAGCACUUGAAACUGUAUGACUUGAGUGCAGGAGAGGUAAGCGGAAUUCCUAGUGUAGCGGUGAAAUGCGUAGAUAUUAGGAGGAACACCGGUGGCGAAGGCGGCUUACUGGACUGUAACUGACGCUGAGUCACGAAAGCGUGGGUAGCAAACAGGAUUAGAUACCCUGGUAGUCCACGCCGUAAACGAUGAGUGCUAGGUGUUGGGCAGCAAUGCUCAGUGCCGAAGUAAACACAAUAAGCACUCCGCCUGGGGAGUACGUACGCAAGUAUGAAACUCAAAGGAAUUGACGGGGACCCGCACAAGCAGCGGAGCAUGUGGUUUAAUUCGAAGCAACGCGAAGAACCUUACCAAGGCUUGACAUCCCCUUGACAGAUGCAGAGAUGUGUCCUCCUCUUCGGAGGCAAGGGAGACAGGUGGUGCAUGGUUGUCGUCAGCUCGUGUCGUGAGAUGUUGGGUUAAGUCCCGCAACGAGCGCAACCCUUAUCCUUAGUUGCCAGCAUGUAAAGAUGGGCACUCUAAGGAGACUGCCGGUGAUAAACCGGAGGAAGGUGGGGAUGACGUCAAAUCAUCAUGCCCCUUAUGUCUUGGGCUACACACGUGCUACAAUGGUCGGUACAACGGGCAGCGAAGGAGCGAUCCGGAGCGAAUCCCAAUAAACCGAUCCCAGUUCGGAUUGCAGGCUGCAACUCGCCUGCAUGAAGUCGGAGUUGCUAGUAAUCGCGAAUCAGAACGUCGCGGUGAAUGCGUUCCCGGGUCUUGUACACACCGCCCGUCACACCAUGGAAGUUGGUAAUACCCGAAGUCGCUGAGCUAACCUUAAAGGAGGCAGGCGCCGAAGGUAGGAUCAAUGACUGGGGUGAAGUCGUAACAAGGUAACCA
rnacentral:rRNA from 1 species